GGGCCCGCGUCUCAUUAGCUAGUUGGUAGGGUAAUGGCCUACCAAGGCAACGAUGAGUAGCUGGUCUGAGAGGAUGAUCAGCCACACUGGAACUGAAACACGGUCCAGACUCCUACGGGAGGCAGCAGUGGGGAAUAUUGCGCAAUGGGCGAAAGCCUGACGCAGCAACGCCGUGUGAGGGAUGAAGGCUUUCGGGUCGUAAACCUCUGUCGGAAGGGAAGAACGGGCAAUGGUCUAAUAGGCCGUUGUUUUGACGGUACCUUUAGAGGAAGCACCGGCUAACUCCGUGCCAGCAGCCGCGGUAAUACGGAGGGUGCAAGCGUUAUUCGGAAUUACUGGGCGUAAAGCGCACGUAGGCCGCUUUGUAAGUCAGGGGUGAAAUCCCACGGCUCAACCGUGGAACUGCCCUUGAAACUGCAGAGCUUGAAUCCUGGAGAGGGUGGCGGAAUUCCUGGUGUAGGAGUGAAAUCCGUAGAUAUCAGGAGGAACACCGGUGGCGA
rnacentral:rRNA from 1 species